rnacentral:rRNA from 1 species
AGUGAACGCUGGCGGUAGGCCUAACACAUGCAAGUCGAACGGCAGCACAGUAAGAGCUUGCUCUUACGGGUGGCGAGUGGCGGACGGGUGAGGAAUACAUCGGAAUCUACUUUUUCGUGGGGGAUAACGUAGGGAAACUUACGCUAAUACCGCAUACGACCUACGGGUGAAAGCAGGGGAUCUUCGGACCUUGCGCGAUUGAAUGAGCCGAUGUCGGAUUAGUUAGUUGGCGGGGUAAAGGCCCACCAAGGCGACGAUCCGUAGCUGGUCUGAGGGGAUGAUGCGCCACAAGGGAAUUGAAACCCAGACCAAGCACCAAAGGGAGGGAGACGGGGGAAAUAUUGGACAAGGGGCGGAACCCUAAGCCAGCCAUCCCGCGUGGGUGAAAAAGGCCUUCGGGUUGUAAAGCCCUUUUUUGGGGAAAGAAAAGCAGCAGGUUAAUCCCCCGCUGUUCUGAGGGUACCCAAAAAAUAAGCACCGGCUAACUUCUG